UUCAUGAACCGCAGAGCCGGAGACGCGGAGAGACAGAAAACCGGGCUCGAACGCGGACCCAGCGCGUCACAGAUGCUUUUAUGGAAGUGCACGGACAGAAUGCAUGCCUAAAACUGAAUUACAACAGAAAUGUGUGUGGAAUCCGCUAAUGACGCAUAUUGCGUUCGGGGAGCGUGUGUACGCAAAGAACGCACGCAUGCAUGCAUCACUCCUCAUCACGCGUGCUUGUUUCAGGAUGUGUCAGAAGAGUCUCCUCGAUGUUGAACUCUGCUUCCGUCCAAACAGGGAAGGCAGUGUGAGGAGCGCUGAAGGAGCAUCUAGAGAAAUGGAGAGAUGAACGUGACUCUCCAGCAGGAGCAUGUGGAGGCCGGGAAUGACGGAAAUGAUGGGCUGCUGUGGGCUUUGAGGACACCGGACCUCUAAAGCUCAGAAUGGCCAGAGAAAAUUAUAUGAGGAAGAAAAAGCAUGCUGGGAGAUCAGGAGGAGACGCAGCGGAGUGAAGUCGUGAAAGACAAACUGGGAUGGAUCUGACCUGCUGAUGAGAUCCUCUGUCGCCCUGAAGAUUCACUGAUGCCACUUCCUUUAUUGCUGAACAGGAAGCCAGAAUCAGUUGCAGGAUGAAUUCAGCGUUAUAACUUCACCUGCAGACAGGUCGAAAAAACAAACACCAUUAGAAAGAUGUUUUUUUUGUGGCUCACUGGUCCUACCUUUGAUUUUUAUGAUCGUGUUCAUUUUUUACUGACGUUCAGUGUAGAAAACUAAAACACUGUGGAGAUUUGCUGUUGUAGCGUCACCUGCAAAAGCACAUUAAACCAGCUAAGUGAAUCUAGAAAUGCUCAUGCUGUUAUUUUAUUUAAACAUGCUUAGCGUUGCAUUUUAGCAUAUGCGCAUUACAGCUCUAUUUCACACACACCUCAAGCUCUCUGGAUGAAUUAUAAAAUCUGUAAAUGAAUAUUUUAAUAACACUUGGGGCUGUAGGUUGGAUUCACUAAUGUAAUGACCCUCAGAAUCUCUUAAUUCACCCGAUUCAAUAAUACUGCACUGAACAAUUGCAUAUAAGUAAAGCUGUAAUUCAUCACUGUGUACUUGAGUGAUACUGAAUGUGUGAUGAUCUUCAAUAAAGCAUCUAUAUGAGAUAUGUGACUUUGUCAGG